rfam:Daphnia pulex DAPPTscaffold_1874_Cont13578, whole genome shotgun sequence.
AUCGCUUCUCGGCCUUUUGGCUAAGAUCAAAGUGUAGUAUCUGUUCUUAUCAGUUAUUCCCCUACACUUUGUCUUUUAGCCUCUAGUGUCGGAUCUUUGAAGCGAUCACCUUCUUCUCUUAUUUUUCCGUAACCGUAC